rnacentral:rRNA from 1 species
GGUUAAGCGACUAAGCGUACACGGUGGAUGCCCUGGCAGUCAGAGGCGAUGAAGGACGUGCUAAUCUGCGAAAAGCGUCGGUAAGGUGAUAUGAACCGUUAUAACCGGCGAUGUCCGAAUGGGGAAACCCAGUGCAAUUCGUUGCACUAUCGUUAACUGAAUACAUAGGUUAACGAGGCGAACCGGGGAACUGAAACAUCUAAGUACCCCGAGGAAAAGAAAUCAACCGAGAUUCCCCCAGUAGCGGCGAGCGAACGGGGAGCAGCCCAGAGUCUGAAUCAGCUUGUGUGUUAGUGGAACGGUCUGGAAAGUCCGACGGUACAGGGUGAUAGUCCCGUACACCAAAAUGCACAGGUUGUGAACUCGAAGAGUAGGGCGGGACACGUGGUAUCCUGUCUGAAUAUGGGGGGACCAUCCUCCAAGGCUAAAUACUCCUGACUGACCGAUAGUGAACCAGUACCGUGAGGGAAAGGCGAAAAGAACCCCGGCGAGGGGAGUGAAAAAGAACCUGAAACCGUGUACGUACAAGCAGUGGGAGCACCUUCGGGUGUGACUGCGUACCUUUUGUAUAAUGGGUCAGCGACUUAUAUUCUGUAGCAAGGUUAACCGUAUAGGGGAGCCGCAGGGAAACCGAGUCUUAACUGGGCGUUAAGUUGCAGGGUAUAGACCCGAAACCCGGUGAUCUAGCCAUGGGCAGGUUGAAGGUUGGGUAACACUAACUGGAGGACCGAACCGACUAAUGUUGAAAAAUUAGCGGAUGACUUGUGGCUGGGGGUGAAAGGCCAAUCAAACCGGGAGAUAGCUGGUUCUCCCCGAAAGCUAUUUAGGUAGCGCCUCGUGAACUCAUCUUCGGGGGUAGAGCACUGUUUCGGCUAGGGGGUCAUCCCGACUUACCAACCCGAUGCAAACUACGAAUACCGAAGAAUGUUAUCACGGGAGACACACGGCGGGUGCUAACGUCCGUCGUGAAGAGGGAAACAACCCAGACCGCCAGCUAAGGUCCCAAAGUCAUGGUUAAGUGGGAAACGAUGUGGGAAGGCACAGACAGCCAGGAUGUUGGCUUAGAAGCAGCCAUCAUUUAAAGAAAGCGUAAUAGCUCACUGGUCGAGUCGGCCUGCGCGGAAGAUGUAACGGGGCUAAACCAUGCACCGAAGCUGCGGCAGCGACACUAUGUGUUGUUGGGUAGGGGAGCGUUCUGUAAGCCUGCGAAGGUGACCUGUGAGGGUUGCUGGAGGUAUCAGAAGUGCGAAUGCUGACAUAAGUAACGAUAAAGCGGGUGAAAAGCCCGCUCGCCGGAAGACCAAGGGUUCCUGUCCAACGUUAAUCGGGGCAGGGUGAGUCGACCCCUAAGGCGAGGCCGAAAGGCGUAGUCGAUGGGAAACAGGUUAAUAUUCCUGUACUUGGUGUUACUGCGAAGGGGGGACGGAGAAGGCUAUGUUAGCCGGGCGACGGUUGUCCCGGUUUAAGCAUGUAGGCUGGUUAUCCAGGCAAAUCCGGAUAAUCAAGGCUGAGGUGUGAUGACGAGGCACUACGGUGCUGAAGUAACAAAUGCCCUGCUUCCAGGAAAAGCCUCUAAGCAUCAGGUAACAUCAAAUCGUACCCCAAACCGACACAGGUGGUCAGGUAGAGAAUACCAAGGCGCUUGAGAGAACUCGGGUGAAGGAACUAGGCAAAAUGGUGCCGUAACUUCGGGAGAAGGCACGCUGGUGUGUAGGUGAAGUCCCUGCGGAUGGAGCUGAGACCAGUCGAAGAUACCAGCUGGCUGCAACUGUUUAUUAAAAACACAGCACUGUGCAAACACGAAAGUGGACGUAUACGGUGUGACGCCUGCCCGGUGCCGGAAGGUUAAUUGAUGGGGUUAUCCGUAAGGAGAAGCUCUUGAUCGAAGCCCCGGUAAACGGCGGCCGUAACUAUAACGGUCCUAAGGUAGCGAAAUUCCUUGUCGGGUAAGUUCCGACCUGCACGAAUGGCGUAAUGAUGGCCAGGCUGUCUCCACCCGAGACUCAGUGAAAUUGAACUCGCUGUGAAGAUGCAGUGUACCCGCGGCAAGACGGAAAGACCCCGUGAACCUUUACUAUAGCUUGACACUGAACAUUGAGCCUUGAUGUGUAGGAUAGGUGGGAGGCUUUGAAGCGUGGACGCCAGUCUGCGUGGAGCCAACCUUGAAAUACCACCCUUUAAUGUUUGAUGUUCUAACGUUGGCCCCUGACCGGGGUUGCGGACAGUGUCUGGUGGGUAGUUUGACUGGGGCGGUCUCCUCCCAAAGCGUAACGGAGGAGCACGAAGGUUAGCUAAUCCUGGUCGGACAUCAGGAGGUUAGUGCAAUGGCAUAAGCUAGCUUGACUGCGAGCGUGACGGCGCGAGCAGGUGCGAAAGCAGGUCAUAGUGAUCCGGUGGUUCUGAAUGGAAGGGCCAUCGCUCAACGGAUAAAAGGUACUCCGGGGAUAACAGGCUGAUACCGCCCAAGAGUUCAUAUCGACGGCGGUGUUUGGCACCUCGAUGUCGGCUCAUCACAUCCUGGGGCUGAAGUAGGUCCCAAGGGUAUGGCUGUUCGCCAUUUAAAGUGGUACGCGAGCUGGGUUUAGAACGUCGUGAGACAGUUCGGUCCCUAUCUGCCGUGGGCGCUGGAGAAUUGAGGGGGCUGCUCCUAGUACGAGAGGACCGGAGUGGACGCAUCACUGGUGUUCGGGUUGUCAUGCCAAUGGCACUGCCCGGUAGCUAAAUGCGGAAGAGAUAAGUGCUGAAAGCAUCUAAGCACGAAACUUGCCCCGAGAUGAGUUCUCCCUGAGACUUUAAGUCUCCUGAAGGAACGUUAAAGACGAUGACGUUGAUAGGCCGGGUGUGUAAGCGCAGCGAUGCGUUGAGCUAACCGGUACUAAUGAACCGUGAGGCUUAACCUU